rnacentral:rRNA from 1 species
GAUGAACGCUGGCGGCGUGCCUAAUACAUGCAAGUCGAGCGAAUGGAUUAAGAGCUUGCUCUUAUGAAGUUAGCGGCGGACGGGUGAGUAACACGUGGGUAACCUGCCCAUAAGACUGGGAUAACUCCGGGAAACCGGGGCUAAUACCGGAUAACAUUUUGAACCGCAUGGUUCGAAAUUGAAAGGCGGCUUCGGCUGUCACUUAUGGAUGGACACGCGUCGCAUUAGCUAGUUGGUGAGGUAACGGCUCACCAAGGCAACGAUGCGUAGCCGACAUGAGAGGGUGGUCGGCCACACUGGGACUGAGACACGGCCCAGACUCCUACGGGAGGCAGCAGUAGGGAAUCUUCCGCAAUGGACGAAAGUCUGACGGAGCAACGCCGCGUGAGUGAUGAAGGCUUUCGGGUCGUAAAACUCUGUUGUUAGGGAAGAACAAGUGCUAGUUGAAUAAGCUGGCACCUUGACGGUACCUAACCAGAAAGCCACGGCUAACUACGUGCCAGCAGCCGCCGUAA